rnacentral:rRNA from 1 species
GACGAACGCUGGCGGCGUGCUUAACACAUGCAAGUCGAACGGAAAGGCCCUGCUUUUGUGGGGUGCUCGAGUGGCGAACGGGUGAGUAACACGUGAGUAACCUGCCCCUGACUUUGGGAUAACUUCAGGAAACUGGGGCUAAUACCCGAUAGGAGCUCUUGCUGCAUGGUGGGGGUUGGAAAGUUACGGCGGUUGGGGAUGGACUCGCGGCUUACCCGCUUCUUGGUGGGGUAGUGACUUACCAAGGUUUUGACGGGUAGCCGGCAUGGGAGGGUUACCGGCGACAAUGGGACUAAGAUACGGCCCAGACUCCUACGGGAGGCAGCAGUGGGGAGUAUUGCGCAACGGGCGGAAGCCUGAGGUGGCAGCGCCGGGUGCGGGAUAACGGCCUUCGGGGUGUAAACCGCUUUCGCCGGUGACGAAGCGUGAGUGACGGUAAUGGGUAAAGAAGCACCGGCUAACUACGUG